AUUGAACGCUGGCGGCAGGCCUAACACAUGCAAGUCGAGCGGAUGAAGGGAGCUUGCUCCUGGAUUCAGCGGCGGACGGGUGAGUAAUGCCUAGGAAUCUGCCUGGCAGUGGUGGAUAACGUCCGGAAACGGGCGCUAAUACCGCAUACGUCCUGAGGGAGAAAGUGUGGGAUCUUCGGACCUCACGCUAUCAGAUGAGCCUAGGUCGGAUUAGCUAGUUGGUGGGGUAAAGGCCUACCAAGGCGACGAUCCGUAACUGGUCUGAGAGGAUGAUCAGUCACACUGGAACUGAGACACGGUCCAGACUCCUACGGGAGGCAGCAGUGGGGAAUAUUGGACAAUGGGCGAAAGCCUGAUCCAGCCAUGCCGCGUGUGUGAAGAAGGUCUUCGGAUUGUAAAGCACUUUAAGUUGGGAGGAAGGGCAGUAAGUUAAUACCUUGCUGUUUUGACGUUACCAACAGAAUAAGCACCGGCUAACUUCGUG
rnacentral:rRNA from 1 species